rnacentral:rRNA from 1 species
UACGUAGGGGGCGAGCGUUAUCCGGAUUCAUUGGGCGUAAAGCGCGCGUAGGCGGCCGCCUAAGCGGAACCUCUAACCCUGGGGCUCAACCUCGGGCCGGGUUCCGGACUGGGCGGCUCGAGUGCGGUAGAGGAGAGCGGAAUUCCCGGUGUAGCGGUGGAAUGCGCAGAUAUCGGGAAGAACACCGAUGGCGAAGGCAGCUCUCUGGGCCGUCACUGACGCUGAGGCGCGAAAGCUGGGGGAGCGAACAGG